AGCAGCCGCGGUAAUUCCAGCUCCAGUAGCGUAUAUUAAAGUUGUUGCAGUUAAAAAGCUCGUAGUUGAAUUUCGGGAUUGACGUGAUGGUCAUGCCUUAAGGGGUAUGAACUGUUACAGUUGAUUUCUCACCUUCUGGAGAAACUUGAUGUCCUUUAUUGGGUGUCUUGCGGAUCCAGGACCUUUACCUUGAAAAAAUUAGAGUGUUUAAAGCAGGCAUUUUUGCUCGAAUACAUUAGCAUGGAAUAAUAGAAUAGGACGGCAUGGUUCUAUUUUGUUGGUUUCUAGGAUCACCGUAAUGAUUAAUAGGGAUAGUUGGGGGCAUUAGUAUUCAAUUGUCAGAGGUGAAAUUCUUGGAUUUAUUGAAGACUAACUACUGCGAAAGCAUUUGCCAAGGAUGUUUUCAUUAAUCAAGAACGAAAGUUAGGGGAUCGAAGACGAUCAGAUACCGUCGUAGUCUUAACCAUAAACUAUAGCCGACUAGGAAUCAGACGAUGUUAAUUUUUAAUGUACUCGUUU
rnacentral:rRNA from 1 species